AACUAACAAGGAUUCCCCUAGUAACGGCGAGUGAAGAGGGAAGAGCCCAAGAUUGAAAGCUGGCGUCUUCGGCGUCCGCAUUGUAAUCUCAAGAAGUGUUUUCCGUUUCGGACCAUGCCUAAGUCUCUUGGAAAAGAGCAUCAUAGAGGGUGAUAAUCCCGUACAUGGCAUGGAGCGCCCGAGACUUUGUGAUACGCUUUCUAAGAGUCGAGUUGUUUGGGAAUGCAGCUCAAAAUGGGUGGUAAAUGCCAUCUAAGGCUAAAUAUUGGGGAGAGACCGAUAGCGAACAAGUACAGUGAUGGAAAGAUGAAAAGAACUUUGAAAAGAGAGUUAAACAGUACGUGAAAUUGCCAAAAGGGAAGGGUAGGAGGUCAGAGAUGCGUUCUGGGAUUCAGCCUUGCUUUUGCUUGGUGUUUUUCCCAGAUGGCAGGCCAACGUCGGUUUUGGGCGCUGGAGAAGGGUGGAAGGAAUGUGGCACCUCUCGGGGUGUGUUAUAGCCUUCUACUGGAUACAGUGACCGAGACCGAGGACAGCAGCGUACUCGCAAGAGCGGGCCUUCGGGCACCUUUACGCUUAGGGCGUUGGCAUAAUGGCCCUCUACCACCCGUCUUGAAACACGGACCAAGGAGUCUAACAUGUAUGCGAGUCUUUGGGUGGCAAACCCAUAGGCGCAAU
rnacentral:rRNA from 1 species